rnacentral:rRNA from 1 species
CAGGGAUUGCCCUAGUAACGGCGAGUGAAGCGGCAACAGCUCAAAUUUGAAAUCUGGCCUUCGGGUCCGAGUUGUAAUUUGUAGAGGAUGCUUUUGGUGCAGUGCCUUCCGAGUUCCUUGGAACAGGACGCCUUAGAGGGUGAGAGCCCCGUACGGUUGGACACUAAGCCUCUGUAAAGCUCCUUCGACGAGUCGAGUAGUUUGGGAAUGCUGCUCUAAAUGGGAGGUAAAUUUCUUCUAAAGCUAAAUACCGGCCAGAGACCGAUAGCGCACAAGUAGAGUGAUCGAAAGAUGAAAAGUACUUUGAAAAGAGGGUUAAAUAGCACGUGAAAUUGUUGAAAGGGAAGCGUUUAUGACCAGACCUUUGCCGGGCGGAUCAUCCGGUGUUCUUCACCGGUGCACUUCGCUCGGCUUAGGCCAGCAUCGAUUUCGGCAGGGGGACAAAGACCAUGGGAACGUAGCUCUCUUCGGGGAGUGUUAUAGCCCUAGGUGUAAUACCCUUGCGGGGAUCGAGGUUCGCGCUUCUGCAAGGAUGCUGGCGUAAUGGUCAUCAACGACCCGUCUUGAAACACGGACCAAGGAGUCGAACAUUUAUGCGAGUGUUUGGGUGUUAAACCCUCACGCGUAAUGAAAGUGAACGGAGGUGAGAGCCCUCUUUUGGGUGCAUCAUCGACCGAUCCUGAUGUAUUCGGAAGGAUUUGAGUAAGAGCAUAACUGUUCGGACCCGAAAGAUGGUGAACUAUGCGUGGAUAGGGUGAAGCCAGAGGAAACUCUGGUGGAGGCUCGCAGCGGUUCUGACGUGCAAAUCGAUCGUCAAAUCUGCGCAUGGGGGCGAAAGACUA